rnacentral:rRNA from 1 species
GUCUAUGGCCAUACCACCCUGAACAUGCCCGAUCUCGAAAGCUAAACAGGGUCGGGUCUGGUUAAUACUUGAAUGGGAGAAGGAAGACACCAAGCCA